rnacentral:lncRNA from 12 species
CUCGAGCCCGAGAAAGUCUGCCUGCAGGGCGCCUUUGCCCAGUGCGGGGAGCCGUGGGUGCCCCACCCGAGAAAGCGUCCGGGCCAUGCGGGCCUCUGAGGCUCCCGGCUCUUCGUGUCUCAUCGGGCCCGAACUCUCUUUCCUCGGGGGCGAGCUCCUCCUUCUGUUGAGAUUUGUGUCUCUUGGGGUGACGUUGGCCUUCUGCAGAGGCUGGGUGAGCUCACCUUCUGCUACCCUCUUUUUUGAAACAUUGGUGGGGAAAUUGAGCCACUCGUGUUAAAGUCCAGUCUGCAGCAGAAGGGCCUGCGCUGAGAAACGCUUUGGAGGAGGUGCGCAAGCCCCAAGACCGGCCUGGGUGCAGCCCACGGAGGGUGCGGCCGGAAGGCGGCUGCUGUGGGAAGGAGAGAAACACCAUCAACCCACACCUUACCUGUAUGGGGCUUGGAGCCAUAGUCUACUGGAUGCUCGCUUAUUUACAUCUAUUCCCCCUUUUUUCCAGCAAGAGUGCCUUCUGUUUACUUGGGCCUCCAUCCUCCACGAGUCAUGAGGCAUCAGGGGCUCCCCCUUUGCCUCAAGAGGAGCAGCCCGCGCCGGAGGACCAGCAUUUCCCAUCCCUCUUGCUUCACGGUUGGUUCAAAGGUGAGCAAGUAAUCUAAGCCCGUUAGAUUGAAGCCAGUGUAACGAGGCCCUUUUCUUCUUUUUUCCCCAUGGUGCACCUGACUCUGCACCUUGUGGUGCGGCAGCCGCGGCCAACCUGCUUUCAGGGGAGCCUGAGAAUCACGCCGUCCACGGAGCGGAGCAAGUCACUGGAACCCCGACCUGGUCGUGUGGGACCUCCACCUUGGGUUUCACAGAGGAGACAGUUUAAACUAGGCUGUGGAGAACAGCAGAACUUCGCGAAGAGGAGACAACGGAGGAAGCUUCGCCGUGUAGAUCGCGCACAGAAGAAUGUGAAAAUCUGCAACCUCUGUCGUUCCUUUCAUCGGAACUCAAAUAGACAUUUACUAAGAUCACUUGGACAGUAAAGUUGUUAUCUCACCCAAAAGAAUUU